GGGGAUGUAGCUCAACUGGUAGAGUGUUAACCUAUGCAUGAUACAGGUACGGGUUUCAACUCCUCGCAUCUCCA
rnacentral:tRNA from 1 species